UACGUAGGGUGCGAGCGUUAAUCGGAAUUAUUGGGCGUAAAGGGCGCGUAGGCGCUUGGCAAGUGGAUGGUGAAAUCCCUCGGCUUAACCGAGGAACUGCCGUCCAAACUGCUUCGCUUGAGACCGGGAGAGGUGAGUGGAAUUCCCAGUGUAGCGGUGAAAUGCGUAGAUAUUGGGAGGAACACCAGUGGCGAAGGCGGCUCACUGGACCGGUACUGACGCUGAUGCGCGAAAGCGUGGGGAGCAAACGGG
rnacentral:rRNA from 1 species